rnacentral:rRNA from 1 species
UGAAUAUGGGGGGACCAUCCUCCAAGGCUAAAUACUCCUGACUGACCGAUAGUGAACCAGUACCGUGAGGGAAAGGCGAAAAGAACCCCGGCGAGGGGAGUGAAAAAGAACCUGAAACCGUGUACGUACAAGCAGUGGGAGCCUCUUAAUGGGGUGACUGCGUACCUUUUGUAUAAUGGGUCAGCGACUUAUAUUCUGUAGCAAGGUUAACCGAAUAGGGGAGCCGAAGGGAAACCGAGUCUUAACUGGGCGUUAAGUUGCAGGGUAUAGACCCGAAACCCGGUGAUCUAGCCAUGGGCAGGUUGAAGGUUGGGUAACACUAACUGGAGGACCGAACCGACUAAUGUUGAAAAAUUAGCGGAUGACUUGUGGCUGGGGGUGAAAGGCCAAUCAAACCGGGAGAUAGCUGGUUCUCCCCGAAAGCUAUUUAGGUAGCGCCUCGUGAAUUCAUCUCCGGGGGUAGAGCACUGUUUCGGCAAGGGGGUCAUCCCGACUUACCAACCCGAUGCAAACUGCGAAUACCGGAGAAUGUUAUCACGGGAGACACACGGCGGGUGCUAACGUCCGUCGUGAAGAGGGAAACAACCCAGACCGCCAGCUAAGGUCCCAAAGUCAUGGUUAAGUGGGAAACGAUGUGGGAAGGCCCAGACAGCCAGGAUGUUGGCUUAGAAGCAGCCAUCAUUUAAAGAAAGCGUAAUAGCUCACUGGUCGAGUCGGCCUGCGCGGAAGAUGUAACGGGGCUAAACCAUGCACCGAAGCUGCGGCAGCGACACUAUGUGUUGUUGGGUAGGGGAGCGUUCUGUAAGCCUGUGAAGGUGGCCUGUGAGGGUUGCUGGAGGUAUCAGAAGUGCGAAUGCUGACAUAAGUAACGAUAAAGCGGGUGAAAAGCCCGCUCGCCGGAAGACCAAGGGUUCCUGUCCAACGUUAAUCGGGGCAGGGUGAGUCGACCCCUAAGGCGAGGCCGAAAGGCGUAGUCGAUGGGAAACAGGUUAAUAUUCCUGUACUUGGUGUUACUGCGAAGGGGGGACGGAGAAGGCUAUGUUGGCCGGGCGACGGUUGUCCCGGUUUAAGCGUGUAGGCUGGUUUUCCAGGCAAAUCCGGAAAACCAAGGCUGAGGCGUGAUGACGAGGCACUACGGUGCUGAAGCGACAAAUGCCCUGCUUCCAGGAAAAGCCUCUAAGCAUCAGGUAACAUCAAAUCGUACCCCAAACCGACACAGGUGGUCAGGUAGAGAAUACCAAGGCGCUUGAGAGAACUCGGGUGAAGGAACUAGGCAAAAUGGUGCCGUAACUUCGGGAGAAGGCACGCUGAUAUGUAGGUGAAGCGACUUGCUCGUGGAGCUGAAAUCAGUCGAAGAUACCAGCUGGCUGCAACUGUUUAUUAAAAACACAGCACUGUGCAAACACGAAAGUGGACGUAUACGGUGUGACGCCUGCCCGGUGCCGGAAGGUUAAUUGAUGGGGUUAGCGGCAACGCGAAGCUCUUGAUCGAAGCCCCGGUAAACGGCGGCCGUAACUAUAACGGUCCUAAGGUAGCGAAAUUCCUUGUCGGGUAAGUUCCGACCUGCACGAAUGGCGUAAUGAUGGCCAGGCUGUCUCCACCCGAGACUCAGUGAAAUUGAACUCGCUGUGAAGAUGCAGUGUACCCGCGGCAAGACGGAAAGACCCCGUGAACCUUUACUAUAGCUUGACACUGAACAUUGAGCCUUGAUGUGUAGGAUAGGUGGGAGGCUUUGAAGUGUGGACGCCAGUCUGCAUGGAGCCGACCUUGAAAUACCACCCUU